UCAAGCUAAGCUAUUAACCCUUUCCUGCUUGCACAGGGAGAAUGUUCUCAGGUUUUUUUCUGGCCACAUCUAGUCUUGCUUCUACUCCAUCAAUUUCCCAGGUGGAAAUACAGCAAGAAGGCAGCUGUCUGUAAGCUCAGAAGAAGGCCUUCAUCAGGCUUAGAGCUGGCCAGUGUCUUUAACUGCAACAUCUCAGCUUUCAAAACUAGUUCGUUCAAUGGUGCCACCAUCUAGCUGUAUUGUAACAUGAGGGAGAGGGGGAAGAGGAGAUGGAGGUGUACAGAAGAAAAAAGAAAGCAAGGACAUAGUAGGCUCUUUCACAACUGCUUCCUUCAGGAACAAGCUUGGCCAGCCAAGAACUACACUAUCCAAU